ACAAGACUUCCCGAGCAGGACAUGUAAACCACAAAGUUUAGCGAGUGUCCAGGCUUUGCUUCUUGUGAGAUUAAUCGAAGAUGAUGGUCUUAAAAUGGUUUUACCACAAGAAAGCUUCUCCUACAAGGAUUAUACCUGUUGUCCUCCCCCCGAGGCCUCACACUGCAAGUCUGAGGAGUAAAAUGAUAGAUCCUGAAGGUUUACCACAGAUCAUGGGGAGACAAGACAGCUGCAGCUCGGCACAUCCUCAGGUUUCUUGUGACCUGUGUCCUGCUCCUCUUUGAUUGAGCUUUGCCAGAGUCAGCGUGGUCAGCUCUCCUCACGUUUCAGCUCCGAGCGACUUGUCCCUGUGUCCGUCCUCUGGCUUUCAUUUAACUACACGUGACAAGUUAGUGUUGAGACCACUUGACACGUGACCCACCGACUCAAACUUUACACAAAUUCUGUCAAAUGUCAAAUCCGACAAGUUUUGGUCUGUAGUGUUGGGACGUGGCAUCAGUGGUGUAAGUAACUAAGUACAUUAAGUCAAGAGUUGUAAGUCUGAGGUGACAUGACAUUACAAAAAGUUAUACACCAAA